UGCUCGAAAGAGAACCUGCACACAGGUGCUGCAUGGCUGUCGUCAGCUCGUGUCGUGAGAUGUUGGGUUAAGUCCCGCAACGAGCGCAACCCUUGCCAUCAGUUGCUACGAAAGGGCACUCUGAUGGGACUGCCGGUGACAAACCGGAGGAAGGUGGGGAUGACGUCAAGUCCUCAUGGCCCUUAUAGUGGGGCUACACACGUCAUACAAUGGCCGGUACAAAGGGCAGCAAACCCGCGAGGGGGAGCCAAUCCAUCAAAGCCGGUCGUAGUCCGGAUCGCAGUCUGCAACUCGACUGCGUGAAGUCGGAAUCGCUAGUAAUCGUGGAUCAGCAUGUCACGGUGAAUACGUUCCCGGGUCUU
rnacentral:rRNA from 1 species